GAACAACGGGGAAUAAGUUCCACACGGGUACCGUUUGAGAUUACGUCACCUUGCGGAGCGGCCGGAAAAAACCUGCACCCUGUCGGGAAAAAAUCCAGAUGCGCUUGUCGGUGAAAUUGAGAUCGGAAAAUUUUAACAGCUAGAUCUUUAUUUCAAAUGUAUGCAGCAGUCGCUAUUGUAUUAGGGAAGAAUGGCACUCCGUGUUAAACUCCCAUAACAAAGGAAAAAGUCGCUAUUCAAGCUGUUGGGCGUGUAAUGCCGCCAUUUUAAACCAUUCAGAACUAAAAUAUCCGCUCGACAUGGAAAUUACUUACUCUUCCAACCAACGAAAACCAAGCCGAAGAAUGGAACUACCCGGACAGACGAUUUUGGCAACUAUCAUCUCUGUUGCACACUGUGGAAACUCGCGGAAACGGACCGGUGACUCUGGAUCGGAAAACUACACCGGGUUGUACCGGACGGGGAAAAUUGGUGCCGUAGCUACUCAAUUGUCGAGCCAAUGGGAUCCUUGCGGCCAAGGAUAUUUGCUAUUCGGCGAAGAGGCGGCCAGGUGCUGGUAUUACAGAUUGCCGAUAAGAUGAUCAUUAACGACUAACUGGAUUCGAUCCACAACUUCUCAAAGUUUGACAGGAAAUUCUGAACCGAUUUGACCCAACCGCAGGUGGUCAAAUGAGAAAAGAUUAAAUGCGGCAAGCCCCAGUGGUGUUUACAACAAGGGCCAGCAGAAAUAGUGCCUAAUGUGCAACGGGUAGAUGAACAACAAUCAUAUCAAAUGACCACGAAGCAAUUAGAAGCGCCAAUUGCUCAAUUGAUGACUGCACUUCAGGCUAGACCUGAGCAGCAACUAUUCUCAAUACUGAUACUGGAGAAAAACAGCAACAAUAAGUUUAUAUAUUAAGAAUUUCAAGCAAAA